rnacentral:rRNA from 1 species
UGGGGGAUAUUGCGCAAUGGGGGGAACCCUGACGCAGCAACGCCGCGUGAAGGAAGAAGGUUUUCGGAUCGUAAACUUCUUUAAGUGGGGAAGAUAGUGACGGUACCCACAGAAUAAGCCACGGCUAACUACGUGCCAGCAGCCGCGGUAAUACGUAGGUGGCAAGCGUUGUCCGGAUUUACUGGGUGUAAAGGGCGUGUAGGCGGGAUGGUAAGUCAGAUGUGAAAUACCGGGGCUCAACCCCGGGGCUGCAUUUGAAACUGCCGUUCUUGAGUGUCGGAGAGGAAAGCGGAAUUCCUAGUGUAGCGGUGAAAUGCGUAGAUAUUAGGAGGAACACCAGUGGCGAAGGCGGCUUUCUGGACGAUAACUGACGCUGAGGCGCGAAAGCGUGGGGAGCAAACAGG